AGUGAACGCUGGCGGUAGGCCUAACACAUGCAAGUCGAACGGCAGCACAGUAAGAUCUUGCUCUUACGGGUGGCGAGUGGCGGACGGGUGAGGAAUACAUCGGAAUCUACUUUUUCGUGGGGGAUAACGUAGGGAAACUUACGCUAAUACCGCAUACGACCUACGGGUGAAAGCAGGGGAUCUUCGGACCUUGCGCGAUUGAAUGAGCCGAUGUCGGAUUAGCUAGUUGGCGGGGUAACGGCCCACCAAGGCGACGAUGCGUAGCUGAUCUGAGAGGAUGAUCAGCCACACUGGAACUGAGACACGGUCCAGACUCCUACGGGAGGCAGCAGUAGGGAAUAUUGCGCAAUGGGCGAAAGCCUGAUCCAGCAAUGCCGCGUGGGUGAAGAAGGUCUUCGGGUUGUAAAGCCCUGUUGUUAGGAAAGAAAAGCAGCAGAAUAAUCCCCCGAUGUUUUGACGGUACCCAAAGAAUAAGCAACGGCUAACUUCGUG
rnacentral:rRNA from 1 species